rnacentral:rRNA from 1 species
UACGUAGGGUGCAAGCGUUAAUCGGAAUUACUGGGCGUAAAGCGUGCGCAGGCGGUUUUGUAAGUCUGUCGUGAAAGCCCCGGGCUCAACCUGGGAAUUGCGAUGGAGACUGCAAGGCUUGAAUCUGGCAGAGGGGGGUAGAAUUCCACGUGUAGCAGUGAAAUGCGUAGAUAUCUGGAGGAACACCGAUGGCGAAGGCAGCCCCCUGGGCUAACACUGACGCUCAUGCACGAAAGCGUGGGGAGCAAACAGG